CUGUGCUUGGUCGGACGGAUGCCCGCGCGGAGGGCAGGAAGCUGACCUGGAGCUGGGAAGCCGGGAGAAGGCACGUGGGGUUCCACCUAGAUAAACCCCAAAAAGACAGCUCCAGUGAGGGACUAGCAAACCUGAGACCAGGCACCAGCCUCUGAGACAGCGCUGGACCCCAAGACUCUGCAGGAUUCGCCUCAGUGCAGAGGCUCUGGAUUCUCUGGCUCUGAGGCGAGAUGGGAGCUGUCCUCCCAGUGGUGCUGAAACUCGGGCUGCCUUCCAUUUCUAGACACUUCCUGUUGAACAAGACAGAGGAGAAUUCCUGGGUUGAGUCCCCCUGAAAAAUCAACAGGGCAACAGGUUUCUUCUCUGUGGAUGAUGAAGAAGUCCUGGAUCGUGGUGAUGGUCACAAAGGGAGCAGGGAAUGCCAGAGGGGUGAACUACAUGGCCGAGGCUGCAGAGGCUACUCCAGGGCUGGCUGCCUUGCCUGGCCUGCCCAGGGAACUGAAACACAGAGAAGUCCAAUGACUUGUCCAAGGUCACACGGCUAGAAGGCAGAAGAGCAAGGAUUCAGCCCCUUCUACAGGUAAAGAAACUUGAGUCCCAGAAAAGUUUCCUGUUCAGGAGUAUGCUUGAAUCUUCUGUGACAUGUACUGUCUCUGGGAAAAUGAGAAUUGAAUGAACUGGUGAAUAAACUGCAAGGAUCUUCAGAGAUGGGCAGGGAGA
rnacentral:lncRNA from 10 species